rnacentral:rRNA from 1 species
UUACGGAAGGCAGCAGUAAGGAAUAUUGGUCAAUGGACGCAAGUCUGAACCAGCCAUGCCGCGUGCAGGAAGACGGUCCUCUGGAUUGUAAACUGCUUUUGUUAGGGAAGAAACCCUCGGAUGCGUUCGAGGCUGACGGUACCUAAAGAAUAAGGAUCGGCUAACUCCGUGCCAGCAGCCGCGGUAAUACGGAGGAUCCAAGCGUUAUCCGGAUUUAUUGGGUUUAAAGGGUGCGUAGGCGGCGUUGUAAGUCAGUGGUGAAAGUUUGCAGCUUAACUGUAAAAUUGCCAUUGAUACUGCAGUGCUUGAGUACAGAUGAGGUGGGCGGAAUGUGUCAUGUAGCGGUGAAAUGCAUAGAUAUGACACAGAACACCGAUUGCGAAGGCAGCUCACUAAACUGUAACUGACGCUGAGGCACGAAAGCGUGGGGAUCAAACAGGAUUAGAUACCCCGGUAGUCCG